AUUGCACAUAAUUUUUUUGCGGGGUUAAAAGAUAAAAUUUUAAACUUCCGUAAGUGGGCCGUAAAACAAAAAAUAAUCGGGCCGAAUUUUGGUGUCCGUUAGCUUUUUGAGCCCGUAACUGAACUCACCGUUAACAUGGGAACAUCUUCCUUCUCGUGAACAUCAUAUAUAAACCCUGUAGAUAUAAAACCGAGAGAAAACGCAACGGUUUCCAUACGAGAGGAAGAGAGAGAAUCACUCGAUCUCUCUUCUUCUUCUUCGCCGGGAACCCUAACAACUAGUUCACGCCAUUGUUGGAGGCUUUCACUGUUAUCACCGCGUGAUCAUGGGCUGAUCGCCUUCAAAUGUUGCCGGGAAUCGUCACUGGCCGACUUGGCGUGAUCGGUUGUUCGACGCAGCGGCGUUAAAGUUAAGGCGAUGCAGGUUGCUGUCUGAACAGAGCACAAGGUACAAGUAGAGGAGGAGGGGUUUGUCCAAGUUUAUUAUCUGUUUGCCAUCUCCAACUCCGCGGGGCCAUGGCCGUGGUUAUGUGGAGAUGCUCCCACCUGUCUAUUUGAUUCUUCUCAACACAAGACGAUCCCGAGGGAGGUGAUUCAUGAGCUCAGAUAGAUCAUGGAGAGGCCCAUUUGAAGACGGUGAUGAUGAAGAAGAAGAAGAGGA